UACGUAGGGUGCAAGCGUUAAUCGGAAUUACUGGGCGUAAAGCGUGCGCAGGCGGUCUGUUAAGAGAGAUGUGAAAUCCCCCGGCUUAACCUGGGAACUGCGUCUGAUACGGGGAGGCUUGAGUAUGGGAGAGGGAUGUAGAAUUCCAGGUGUAGCGGUGAAAUGCGUAGAUAUCUGGAGGAAUACCGGUGGCGAAGGCGGCAUCCUGGACCAUAACUGACGCUGAGGCGCGAAAGCGAGGGGAGCAAACGGG
rnacentral:rRNA from 1 species